AUUGAACGCUGGCGGCAUGCCUAACACAUGCAAGUCGAACGAGUGGCGGACGGGUGAGUAAUGUCUGGGAAACUCCCUGAUGGAGGGGUAUAACUUCUGGAAACGGUAGCUAAUACCGUAUACCUUCCGAUGUGCCCAGAUGGGAUUAGCUUGUUGGUGGGGUAACGGCUCACCAAGGCGACGAUCACUAGCUGGUCUGAGAGGAUGACAAGCCACACUGGGACUGAGACACGGUCCAGACUCCUACGGGAGGCAGCAGUGGGGAAUAUUGCACAAUGGGCGCAAGCCUGAUGCAGCCAUGCCGCGUGUAUGAAGAAGGUCUUCGGGUUGUAAAGUACUUUCAGCGGGGAGGCGUUACCCGAAGAAGAAGCACCGGCUAACUCCGUGCCAGCAGCCGCGGUAAUUC
rnacentral:rRNA from 1 species